UUCGCUUCGACAACAUUCCUGAGCAAACACCCAUGUGAUAAACCCUUUAACUCCUUCUUCAAAAUUUGGUUUAAGUCUGCGUCUUCCUUGAUACAAUAUUGUACAUCCAACUUUGAUAGUACCGAUAAUAUUCCAAACUGCAUGUUUAUACAAUCAUUACCUUUUUAAUUCCAAAUGUGAUUUUAAUAUAUCAAAAAAUUUCGAGAAUUUUGAUAAAACAUUAACUACAAAUAUUAACUAACUUAAUAUUAUUCUUAAACAUAAACUAAUAUUAACUAGAAACUACUUUUCAUACAACUAC
rnacentral:lncRNA from 1 species